GACGAACGCUGGCGGCGUGCCUAAUACAUGCAAGUCGAGCGGACGGAUGGGAGCUUGCUCCCAGACCGUCAGCGGCGGACGGGUGAGUAACACGUGGGCAACCUGCCUGUAAGACUGGGAUAACUCCGGGAAACCGGGGCUAAUACCGGAUAACUCUUUCCCUCACAUGAGGGAAAGCUGAAAGAUGGCAUCUCGCUAUCACUUACAGAUGGGCCCGCGGCGCAUUAGCUAGUUGGUGAGGUAACGGCUCACCAAGGCGACGAUGCGUAGCCGACCUGAGAGGGUGAUCGGCCACACUGGGACUGAGACACGGCCCAGACUCCUACGGGAGGCAGCAGUAGGGAAUCUUCCGCAAUGGACGAAAGUCUGACGGAGCAACGCCGCGUGAGUGAUGAAGGUUUUCGGAUCGUAAAACUCUGUUGUCAGGGAAGAACAAGUACCGGAGCAACUGCCGGUACCUUGACGGUACCUGACCAGAAAGCCACGGCUAACUACGUU
rnacentral:rRNA from 1 species